rnacentral:rRNA from 1 species
UACGUAGGGAGCAAGCGUUGUCCGGAAUCAUUGGGCGUAAAGGGCGCGUAGGUGGCCCGGUCAGCGUGCGGUGAAAGCUCGGGGCUCAACCCCGAGUCGGCCGUGCGAACUGCUGGGCUGGAGCACUGUAGAGGCAGGCGGAAUUCCGGGUGUAGCGGUGGAAUGCGUAGAGAUCCGGAAGAACACCGGUGGCGAAGGCGGCCUGCUGGGCAGUGGCUGACACUGAGGCGCGACAGCGUGGGGAGCAAACAGG